CUGCAUUAGACACUGUGAUUCAGCCAUGAACUAGAAGGCAAAGUUCUGGCCAACAGAAAGCUCACAUUCCAGGACUGCAGUCUUUCCUUAGUCACAGAGGCGUCCAUGUCCUCAGUCUGCCCACUAUGCACCUAUUAACUCAUCAGAUCUGCAUCUCUAGAUUCAUCUCCUCUAUGCCAGGUAUUAUACCAGUCAACACUUUAUGUAUUUCAUCCUCAUGACAACUCCACAUGGUCUCGCAUGGUUCUGAACACAUAGUAAAUGCUGAAUUACUAUUUCCUAAAUUAUCAUAAAGCUGAGAAGAAUCAUGAUUCUCAAACUUCACCUUGGAAUUAAAAUGGAUUUCCUUGAGAAGCACAUAUGAGCCGCUUCUACCCCAGGUAAGCAGACCUCUCCUGUGAUGUUCUGGAUAUGCCUGUCUCAACAGAUUUCAGGGUGGCCGUCUUCUCUGCAAAUUCAGUUCUCUGAUGUGUCCAAGGAGCUGCGGACCAGAGCUGUUCCCAUUCGGCCAUCUUGGACUCUGUCUUAUGUUUGGAAACAACUCUAAUGGUGAUGCCUGUGAGCUGGAGCAUUAGCCUGAAUGCCACCUGCAAUGCAGGUAAAGCAAGGUACAACCUAACAUGACUAGAUUAGAAGUGUGGCAUAGCAGCCAGCUGGCACCAAGGGAAGGCGGCGAGUUAUCUGAAGUAUACAGGAAAAUAUAAUAGAGUGUGCUCAAGGCAGUAAAUAAUUUUACCUAAAUAGUUACAUGAUGCUGAAGGGCCAAUUCAUAACUAGCGG
rnacentral:lncRNA from 10 species